AAAUAAGAAACAAAUUUAUGUAUUUAGUUUCGACCUAAAACCUUGAUGAUAUUAUCAUCCUUAUUUU
rnacentral:tRNA from 1 species